rnacentral:rRNA from 1 species
UACGAAGGGUGCAAGCGUUACUCGGAAUUACUGGGCGUAAAGCGUGCGUAGGUGGUGAGUUAAGUCUGUCGUGAAAGCCCCGGGCUCAACCUGGGAAUGGCGAUGGAUACUGGCGGGCUAGAGUGCGGUAGAGGGUGGUGGAAUUCCCGGUGUAGCAGUGAAAUGCGUAGAGAUCGGGAGGAACAUCAGUUGCGAAGGCGGCCACCUGGACCAGCACUGACACUGAGGCACGAAAGCGUGGGGAGCAAACAGG